rnacentral:lncRNA from 1 species
GGCCGACCUCUAACUCACAGAGAUCCACAUAUUGCAGCCUGGCAAGUGGUGGGAUUAAAGGCCUGUGACAUCAUGAUUAGCCAUAGAUGGACAUUUUAAAGAUCAUGAUGUGAACUAGUUAUUGAAUAAGAUAUAGGAAAUCCAUGAUUGGUUGGCAUAUAAAUUGUUUUUGUUCUUUAAAAGGACUAGUUCUAGUGGCUAUUGCAACAGUGUAGGGCAAACAUCUGAAGAGAGCACCUAGCCUGCUGGGGCAUUGUUUUAGUUCUGUAUUCCAGUUAUUGGAUUAUAUUUAUUAUUUUUUCCAAUUUUCAAACCUAUUUUUAAUUUUCUGGCUCUUUAAUUUUUUUCUAACUUACUGGAUAUUGGAUUAUCAACACGAAGUUUAUAGUAGUUCAUCUCUGUCCCAGGAAGUCAUUCAGAGAACAUGUUGCAGUAAACCCACAUCAAGUUACCUAUGACCUGCAAUGUUAUCAUCUGACAAGAGAACCACCUCCCAUGACCUCUCCCCCUGCAUUUCAAGCUAUAAAUAGGUGCUAGGGCCCUGCCAAGUUGAGCCACUGUGGCUCACAAGGAACUGUUAGUUCCUCACAAACAUCACCUAGCUUCAAAUCUACUAUACCA